GGCUGCAACUCGCCUACAUGAAGUCGGAGUUGCUAGUAAUCGCGGAUCAGAAUGCCGCGGUGAAUGCGUUCCCGGGUCUUGUACACACCGCCCGUCACACCAUGGAAGUUGGGGGCGCCCGAAGUUGGUCGAGGAAUAGAUUACCUAAGGCGAAACCAAUGACUGGGGUGAAGUCGUAACAAGGUACC
rnacentral:rRNA from 1 species